UACGGAGGGUGCGAGCGUUAUUCGGAAUCACUGGGCGUAAAGCGCAUGUAGGCGGUUUGGUUAGUCUGAUGUGAAAGCCCACGACUCAAUCGUGGAAGUGCAUUGGAUACUGCCAAGCUGGAGUGCAGGAGGGGAGAGCGGAAUUCCUGGUGUAGAGGUGAAAUUCGUAGAUAUCAGGAGGAACAACGGUGGCGAAGGCGGCUCUCUGGACUGUAACUGACGCUGAGGUGCGAAAGCGUGGGGAGCAAACAGG
rnacentral:rRNA from 1 species